UGGAGCGGAAGACGGGGUUCGAACCCGCGACCCCCACCUUGGCAAGGUGAUGUUCUACCACUGAACUACUUCCGC
rnacentral:tRNA from 2 species